rnacentral:rRNA from 1 species
AUGAACGCUGGCGGCGUGCUUAACACAUGCAAGUCGAACGAUUAAAGACUCACUUCGGUGAGUGUAUAGAGUGGCGAACGGGUGAGUAACACGUGGGAAACCUGCCCCUUUCUUCGGGAUAACUUCGGGAAACCGUUGCUAAUACCGGAUACUCCGGGAUGGUCGCAUGGCCGACCCGGGAAAGCUUUAUGUGGAAAGGGAUGGUCCCGCGGCCCAUUAGCUUGUUGGUGGGGUAAUGGCCUACCAAGGCGAUGAUGGGUAGCCG